UACGUAGGGUGCAAGCGUUGUCCGGAAUACUGGGCGUAAAGCGUGCGCAGGCGGUGAUGUAAGACAGAUGUGAAAUCCCCGGGCUCAACCUGGGAACUGCAUUUGUGACUGCAUCGCUGGAGUACGGCAGAGGGGGAUGGAAUUCCGCGUGUAGCAGUGAAAUGCGUAGAUAUGCGGAGGAACACCGAUGGCGAAGGCAAUCCCCUGGGCCUGUACUGACGCUCAUGCACGAAAGCGUGGGGAGCAAACAGG
rnacentral:rRNA from 1 species